rnacentral:tRNA from 1 species
GCCCGCAUAGCUCAGUGGUAGAGCAUUGUACUUAUGAGGUUGUCAACCUAUUUGCUUAUGCAAGGGUCUCCAGUUCGAUCCUGGGUGGGGGCA